rnacentral:sRNA from 1 species
AAAAACCGAUCCCUACAGUUGCCCACUCCCCGGGCACGGCACCAAUCCAAUCGCCACAGGCUCUCCUGACGU